GCCUGAGUAGCUCAGUCAGUUAGCUGAGCGUCUGCCUUCAGCUCAGGUUGUGAUCCUGGGGUCUUGGGAUCGAGUCCCACAUCAGGCU
rnacentral:tRNA from 1 species